AAAAUUCUGCAGUUGCUUACAUCUGAGGAAGGGACAAAACUUCAGCUAGAAAUAGCCGUAUCAGCUUCUGAUAUUAAAGAAAAGUACAAGGUAUGAGCCCUGAUAUCUUGUUGAAGCUCAUGCUUCUUGCCAAGUGGUCCAUGAUUCUCUUUCUCGUUAGACCCAAUGUUUCUAAGCACAAAAUGUUCAAAAUAGCUUAGCCAGUAGUUCUUUGCUUCGAAGUUUAAGUUACAUGGCAUUAGUAAAACUUGUUUGCCUUUCUAAUUAUUACUUGUUGUUUGCUUUUUCAGGACGAAUGCAAACGAGUGUCAAAAGAGGAACAAGUUUUGAGAUUAGAUUUGUCAAAUAAGUUUCAAGAUGUUUUCUGAUAUAUUGUAAAGCUCCUGCCCAGUUACGAGUAUUUUGUGAUCUGGAGAUAAUGUAUGAAUAUUUUGGAUGUUAUAUAAUAUAUGUUACCGAUGUCAA
rnacentral:lncRNA from 1 species